GCCUGGGUGACAGAGCGAGACUUCGUCUCAAAAAAAAAGAAGAAGAAAGAAGGAAGCUGAGGUUCAGACAGGCUAAGUCCCUACUGCAGGCUGCGGAAUCUAAAAAGGUCAUGAACUCUGAGAGUUUGAGAUGAGCCUCUAAAAGCUGUAUCAAUAGCACCUUGCACUGUUGAAGCAGGCCAUGAACUCUGAGAAUUUGGGCUGCAUUUUUAAAGCUGUAUCACUGGCAGUUUGUACUCAAAAAGCAGAUAGUGUCUUGCAAUGUCGCCCAGGCUGGAGUGCAGUG
rnacentral:lncRNA from 1 species